rnacentral:rRNA from 1 species
GAAAUGCGAUAAGUAAUGUGAAUUGCAGAAUUCAGUGAAUCAUCGAAUCUUUGAACGCACCUUGCGCUCCUUGGUAUUCCAAGGAGCAUGCCUGUUUGAGUGUCAUGAAAUUCUCAACUCAUAAAUCUUUUUGGUUUAUGAGCUUGGAUUUUGGAGGCUUGUUGAGUCCUUGUAACAUGGGUCUUAGCUCCUCUUGAAUGCAUUAGCUUGAUUCCGUGCGGAUCGGCUCUCAGUGUGAUAAUUAUCUAUGCUGUGGUCGUGAAGUGUUUGGCAAGCUUCUAAUUGUCCUCUCAAAGGGACAACACUCUGACAUCUGACCUCAAAUCAGGUAGGACUACCCGCUGAACUUAA